rnacentral:rRNA from 1 species
CCUACGGGAGGCAGCAGUGGGGAAUAUUGCACAAUGGGGGAAACCCUGAUGCAGCGACGCCGCGUGAGUGAAGAAGUAAUUCGUUAUGUAAAGCUCUAUCAGCAGGGAAGAAAAUGACGGUACCUGAGUAAGAAGCCCCGGCUAACUACGGGCCAGCAGCCGCGGGAACACGUAGGGGGCAAGAGUGAUCCGGAUUUACUGGGUGUAAAGGGAGCGUAGACGGCAGUGCAAGGCUGGAGUGAAAGGCGGGGGCUCAACCUCCGGACUGCUCUGGAAACUGUAAGGCUGGAGUGCUGGAGAGGUAAGUGGAAUUCCUGGUGUAGCGGUGAAAUGCGUAGAUAUUAGGAGGAACACCAGUGGCGAAGGCGGCUGACUGGACUGUAACUGACGUUGAGGCUCGAAAGCGUGGGGAGCAAACAGGAUUAGAUACCCCUGUAGUC